rnacentral:rRNA from 1 species
GAUGAACGCUAGCGGCAGGCUUAAUACAUGCAAGUCGAACGGUAAGCUUGGUAGCAAUACUAAGUCAAGAGUGACGUACGGGUGCGUAACACGUAUGCAACCUACCUUGUACAGGAGGAUAGCUCGGGGAAACUCGAAUUAACCCUCCAUGAGAUAGUAGUGAGGCAUCUCACAGUUAUUAAAACUCAGGUGGUACAAGAUGGGCAUGCGUCUGAUUAGAGUUGGGCGGGGUAAUGGCCCACCAAGACGAUGAUCAGUAGGGGACCUGAGGAGGGUGACUCCCCCACACUGGCGACU